CGCAAUGCUCAUCCCACAUAUCUAUAGAAUCCCUUAUUAUAACUCAUCCCACAUACCUAGAGCAAGUGGCAAAAGGCUUGGUGGUUGGUAUCCGAGGUCUCAAGUUCGAAUCACAUUUCUAGAUAAGUUUAUUUCUAAAAAAAUAAACGAAGCGGGUAGCGUGCUGCCUGUCUCUCAAAAAAAAAAGACUCAUCCCACAUACCUACAGAACCCCUCCUUGUUGUAACAUGGUGUUGAACAAACUCUCUAUCAACCUCCACCAUCAUGAUUACUAGUGAAGGCCCGCGCUACGCAGCGGAAAAUUUAUGUAAAUUUUAAAAAUUUUAAAUUAUAUAGUAAAUAGCACCUAAACUGUAAAGUCAGCAAUAUUAGAAGAUAUUCGAUUUAAAAUUUAACUUUUUAAUUUAAAAUUAAAUUUUAAAUUUUAAAUUUAAUUUUUUAUUUUUUGAAUGUGAUCUAAAAUUAUACGAAACAAAACAAAAAGGAUUAGAAAAGAGGGAAAAAAGGGGAAAAAAGUUAGAAGAGGAAAGGGAAAAAAAGAGAGAGAGGAGUGGGUCCACAGGAAAAAAAGCUUAAAAAUAAAAAUACUAUAUAUAAUAAAUAAUUAAUUAAAAAAAAUAUUAUAUUAUAUAAUAAAUUAUUAUAUAAUAAUAUAUCCAUAUUAUAAAAAUAUAAUACUAUGUAUAUUAACUAAAUAUAUAUUUAUAAAUAAAAUUAUAUAUAUAUAUAUAUAUAUAUAUAUAUAUAUAUAUUAUAAAUAAGAGUCUAGCUAUGGUGCUUGUAAAAGCACCAAGCACUUGGUACUUGUAAGUUUUUUACCGUUAGAUCUACUUCUCGGAUAUUUUCAACCAUUAGAUUAUACUAUUCAACCAACAACUCACUCAACCCUAGGAAGCCCACAUCAUCCUAACCGCAUAUCUCUUAAUCUAAUGGCUAAAAAUCUACAAGCACCAUUGUCUUGGUACUUUCAAAAGUAUAGAAGCUCAAUUCUUAUAAUUAAAAAGAGAGAGAGAGCUAGGUUGACUG
rnacentral:lncRNA from 1 species